GAGGAUUUGCCGUAAGAUCCUAACGCGAUCGUUUUAACACAAUCGCAGUCUGCUGGCGGGUCCGUCAACGGCCGUUCCAGGCAGAGGAGAAGGCUUGAUUGCGCCAAAGACUCCAGACAUCGAAUCCUUGCUCCGAGGGGAAAUCAUCGAAAACGACGGUGAAUGUCCGACAGGCACCCGCUAUUGGUAACACUGGACAAGUCGGAUAUCCUUGCUUGGAUCCUUUUAAAGUUGCCCGAUAAACUGCUGAGAGUUGAUCUCUCCUCUUGUCCAAAGGUUUUUCGUUCAUUUUUACUUGUAAUACUGGCACUAGGGUCGAUGUAGUAGCUCCACAACAUAACCUUAAAGCCUGUGACUGGAUCCGGUCUAUUUUCCCAAGUCAUGUUUUUGAAGCAGAUUGGUAAAUAAUGCAUCCGUAAUCAAUAACAGAUGGAAUUAAAGUUAUAAAUAUAUACAUGUAUUGUUUUCAACGUUAACCUAUCAGCCCCCCAAUCAUUACCCCUCAAAGCCCUCAUUAUAUUUAACACCUUUUUACUUUUUCCCCUAUUUUUUUAUUUUCCGGAAGGAACACUCCUGAAGGAAUAAAUAAAGUACUAUCUAAUCUAAUCUAAUCAAAUCUAUUUUGCUGAUGUGGGUUGACUAGUUCAUAUUUUUAUCAAACCAUAUUCCUAAAUAUUUAAAUACUUGUACCUCUUCUAUAUUUUCACCUUAGAGUUUUUAUUUGGAGCUUGUUUGGUACUUUUGUCUUUGUAAAAUGUAUGACUUUUGUCUUUCCAACAGAGAAUCUUAAACCUCAAGCCGUUCCCCAGUCUUGAACAUUAUUUACCACUUUGUUAGUUUUUUGAUUAUUUCUUUUGACUCUAAAUAAUAUACUAGUCUUUCAUUAAUCUUUUUUUUUUCCAUUACUUUUCCCCAAAUUUAUAAUUUCCUGCCUCUUCCGGGUCUUACCCUGACUUGCAUAUUGGAAUUGUUACCGCUAAUUUUCCCCUCUGCCGGUCAUUCUCCUUCUUCAUAUAUCCUGUCAUAUCAUUUCAAGACCACUUCUUUGACGAUGCCACCUAAGUUUUUGAUCAUUUGAUAACCCGCUAGGUCUUUCCCCGGUGACGUAUUUUUAACCUUUUUCAAAAUUCGAACCAUUUCAUUCAA